GACUUCCCAAUGCUUACCACAGGCUGUGUUCUUUACACUGACUGUAUAGAAAAUAGGAGGUACAGUAAAUGCUCUCCAUAUACACCUCAAACCAGGCCCUUUGUGACAAAAAUAUCACAAAAAAAAGAAACUAAA